UGCAAACCGUUGGGGUGUCCCGUCACAGGGGCUGAGAGGCGUCAGCCAACCCAUCGAACCUGAUCCGGGUCAUACCGGCGGAGGGAACGGUGCAGAUGAUCGC
rfam:Paracoccus sp. SM22M-07 scaffold07, whole genome shotgun sequence.